CUCUUUGGAAAACAUAAACUCACUCCACAUGAGACAGUCACCAGCAGAUCAAUGUCUACUGAUUAAAGAAGCUUUCCUGGAUUCCAAUAUAAAGCAUCAUGUUGGUCACAGUCUAGAGCCUGGUGACUGGAUAUUCUGGGAGCAUCAUCAGAGAAAGACAAUGGAGAGGGCCUUAUCAAGUGCUCCUAACCACUGACACUGCUGCAGAACUAAAAGGCAUUUAACCUUGAAGAUACAGCUUACAGCUAAAUAAAACUUCCCUGUCAUUUGGUCCUGUACAAGCCCUGGAGGCCUCCAAAACAAACUGACAAGGGAGAGAAGCAAUCAACACCUGAGGCAGACAGCUUUCCCCAGAUGGCCAGACCAGGCCUGUAUACCUUUCACUUGUGGUUGCUUCUUAUCUUAUUUUCUGUGUCUCUUUCUUAGAAAGACAAUACUCUCAUCUGCAUCUCCCAAUCUAUUACAAAAGGGGGAAAUCUUUCUAACUGUUGGGUUUGUCAUGAGACCCCUCCUUCUGUACGUGAAUCUAGAGAAUGCUUAAUUACCACUUAAUUACCAGUCUCUCUGCCAUUCCUCUUGUGCUAAGAUUCUAAAACUUCUUGCCUAAUCAAUUGAACCCACUGGCUUAAAAUGUAGCAUUAGUAACCAUUGUAAAUACCUCUUGCUGAAUUUAGCUAAACACCUCUGGCAAGGUAGAGAGAGAACUAGACAGAAUUUGAGCGCAAGUCAAAUGGUUAAAUGCACUGCCAACAGACAUCCCAUAGUUCUUUGAUUUCUUUAGCUGG
rnacentral:lncRNA from 1 species